rnacentral:rRNA from 1 species
AUUGAACGCUGGCGGCAGGCCUAACACAUGCAAGUCGGGCGAGCGGCGGACGGGUGAGUAAUGCGUGGGAAUCUAGCUGAUGGAGGGGGAUAAAUAGGGGAAACUGUAGCUAAUACCGCGUACCAUAGGAGGGGCCCAAGUGGGAGUAGGUAGUUGGUGAGGUAAAGGCUCACCAAGCCGACGAGCUCUAGCUGGUCUGAGAGGAUGACCAGCCACACGGGGACUGAGACACGGCCCAGACUCCUACGGGAGGCAGCAGUGGGGAAUAUUGCGCAAUGGGGGCAACCUGACGCAGCCAUGCCGCGUGAAUGAAGAAGGCCUUCGGGUUGUAAAGUUCUUUCGGUAGCGAGGCGUUAACUACAGAAGAAGCACCGGCUAACUCCGUGCCAGCAGCCGCGGUAAUC